rnacentral:rRNA from 1 species
GAUUAUGGCUCAGGACGAACGCUGGCGGCGUGCCUAACACAUGCAAGUCGAGCGAUGAAAUCCUUCGGGAUGGAUUAGCGGCGGACGGGUGAGUAACACGUGGGUAACCUGCCUUGUAGAGGGGGAUAGCCUUCCGAAAGGAAGAUUAAUACCGCAUAAUAUCUUUUUUAUCGCAUGGUAGAAAGAUCAAAGGAGUAAUCCGCUACAAGAUGGACCCGCGGCGCAUUAGCUAGUUGGUGAGGUAACGGCUCACCAAGGCGACGAUGCGUAGCCGACCUGAGAGGGUGAUCGGCCACAUUGGAACUGAGACACGGUCCAGACUCCUACGGGAGGCAGCAGCGGGGAAUAUUGCGCAAUGGGAGAAAAACCCCUGACGCAGCAACGCCGCGUGAAUGAAGAAGGCCUUAGGGUUGUAAAGUUCUGUUUACGGGGACGAUAAUGACGGUACCCGUGGAGGAAGCCACGGCUAACUACGUGCCAGCCGCUGC